rnacentral:rRNA from 1 species
CACGAAACUUAACGAGCUAACUAUUAUAGGUGAUUUGACAGCAUAUGUGGCAUAAUAAGUAUAGUUAAUAGUAGUUAGGGGUGAUAGGCUUCCCAAGUUAGGUGAUAACUUGAUUUUCUUGAGAGGUAUUUAGUACAUUAACAGAUCUAAAGUUAUAAGGUUUUAGAUAAGUAUAAAGGGUUAUUCGCUGCUACUACUAGGCUUAAUCGCUAGUAUAACAUAGUAUUUAAAUAUUAAAUUAGUUGGCUUAUUAAUAGUAAAGAAUAAUAAAUAAAUUAUAUAAGUUAUUUAUAAUGUUAGUAUGAGUAUUUAUAAAGGUGAAAAUAAUAAACUCGGCAAAGUAUCCUUCGACUGUUUAUCAAAAACAUAGCCGGGUGUAAUAUAUAUUCGGUGCUUUCUGCUCAAUGAUUAAUUAAAUAGCCGCAGUACCCUGACUGUGCAAAGGUAGCGUAAUCAAUUGGCUUUUAAUUGAAGCCCUGUAUGAAGAAUAUACGGAAGAUGACUGUAUCAUUUUUAUAAUGAUAAAUUACUUAUUAGGUGUAAAAACCUAUAGAAAAAUAAUAGACGAGAAGACCCUAGAAAUUUUAAGAAGAUGUUUUAAAGACUUUUUGUUGGGGCAACAUGGUAGCAUAACCUACAUAAGAGACAUGCAAUUAUUUAGUAUGAUUAAAUUACUCUAGGGAUAACAGCAUAAUUUGAUAGAGUUUGUGACCUCGAUGUUGGACUAGGAAAUUGAUGUUUAGAA